rnacentral:rRNA from 1 species
UGAAUACGAGAUGCUACGGCAUUGAAGCAGUCUAUGUCAGACUUCCAAGAAAAGCUCGCAAUGUCAGAAACAAGAAAUGCCUGUACCAUAACCGACACAGGUGGGUAGGUAGAGUAUACUAAGGGGCGCGAGAUAACUCUCUCUAAGGAACUCGGCAAAAUGACUCCGUAACUUCGGGAGAAGGAGUGCCUUAUUUUAUAAGGUUGCAAUAACAAGAUCCAAGCAACUGUUUACCAAAAACACAGGUCUCCGCUAAGUCGAAAGACGAUGUAUGGGGGCUGACGCCUGCCCAGUGCCAGAAGGUUAAAGAAGUUGGUUAGCCUAGCGAAGCUGAUGACUGAAGCCCUGGUGAACGGCGGCCGUAACUAUAACGGUCCUAAGGUAGCGAAAUUCCUUGUCGGGUAAGUUCCGACCCGCACGAAAGGCGUAAUGAUUUGGAUACUGUCUCGGAGAGGGGCUCGGUGAAAUAGACUUGUCUGUGAAGAUGCGGACUACCUGCACCUGGACAGAAAGACCCUAUGAAGCUUUACUGUAACUUGAGAUUGAAAUUGGACUUUAUUUGCGCAGCAUAGGUGGGAGACGUUGAAAAUAUUCUUGCGGGAAUGUUGGAGUCAUCAGUGAGAUACCACUCUUGUAAUGUUAGAUUUCUAACUUUGUAUCAUUAUCUGGUCAAAGGACAGUUUCAGGCGGGCAGUUUGACUGGGGCGGUCGCCUCCUAAACGGUAACGGAGGCGCACAAAGGUUUCCUCUGAACGUGUAGAAAUCGUAUCUAGAGUGUAAAGGCAUAAGGAAGCUUGACUGUGAGACCUACAAGUCGAGCAGGGACGAAAGUCGGUCUUAGUGAUCUGACGGUGCUGAGUGGAAAGGCCGUCACUCAACGGAUAAAGGUUACUCUAGGAUAACAGGCUGAUCUCCCCCAAGAGUUCACAUCGACGGGGAGGUUUGGCACCUCGAUGUCGGCUCAUCGCAUCCUGGGGCGGUAGUACGUCCCAAGGGUUGGGCUGUUCGCCCAUGAAAGCGGUACGCGAGCUGGGUUCAGAACGUCGUGAGACAGUUCGGUCCAUAUCCGGUGUAGGCGUUAGAAUAUUGAGAGGAGCCUUCUUUAGUACGAGAGGACCGAGAAGGACAUACCUCUGGUGUACCAGUUAUCGUGCCAACGGUAAACGCUGGGUAGCUAUGUAUGGAGUGGAUAACCGCUGAAAGCAUCUAAGUGGGAAGCCCACCUCAAGAUAAG